CAAAAACAGCCGGACUGUGACCAUUCCUCAUCCAUUUCUUUUCAGCGCAAUUCAGCAUACACCAAAGCAGAUAAAUUUGUAAAAGCACAAUGGCAGCGGCGGUGACACCCACCGGCGGUGGCCUACGUCGCCUUCACACUCGUCCAUGGCUCCAAGGCCUCCGCUUUACAACUCCAGUAUGUUCUCUCUCUACGCUUGCCUCUUCUUGUCUCUCUCACUCCUCUUCAAUCCCACACUCAGAAGAGCCCACAACUAUUGUAACGAAGCCUAAAACGAGUGAAAAUGAAAGCAAAAAUCCCAUUUCCUAUUUCCCGAAGCGAGGUCAGACUUUAGAGCUAGUGUGCGAAACCUUAGCUUUCAAAGGCAAGGGGCUGUGCAAGGUGGCAGACACUGGCUUUAUAGUCAUGUGCGAUCGCGCACUCCCGGGUGAGAAGUUCGUUGGCCGUGUCACACGCAGAAAAGACAAUUACGCUGAGGUGAAGAAGGUGAAGACGAUAUCUCCUCACUGGGACUGUGUGGUGGCGCCUUGUGAAUAUGCAUCAUAUUGUGGAGGUUGUAAAACACAGAAUUUGUUGUAUGAGGCCCAGGUCAGGGCUAAGGAGCAACAAGUGCAUGAAUUGAUUGCACACGUUGGCAAAUUUUCAGAUAAAGACCCAGAAUUUAGGGGCGUCAUGAAGGCCAUCGUUCCUUGUGAUAUCCAGUUCCACUAUCGAAACAAGAUGGAGUUCUCUUUUGGCACCAGAAAAUGGCUACCUCCAGAAUUGUUACUACAAGAGGGUGAUGAAAACAAUGAAUAUGCUUUGGGACUGCAUGCUCCUGGCUUUUUUGAUAAGGUCCUGAAUAUAGACAAGUGCUUAUUACAAAGUGAUCCAGCCAACAGGGUUCUUGCAGCUAUUCAAGAUUGUUGGAGGGAUCCACAGUUUGGUCUUUCUCCAUACAAUGUGUACUCUCAUGGUGGAUUUUUGAAACAUCUGAUGCUCAGAGCUGGCAGGAACAUCGAGACUGGCCAGCUGGAGCUUAUGGUUAAUUUUGUGACUUCCUCAUAUAAGCCAGAGCUGUUGAAGCCCCUUGUAGAGAAAAUUUCAAGUUUUCCUGAUGUGGUAAGCAUCAUGAACAAUGUAAAUACUUCUGUGGGAAACACAUCUGUCGGGGAGGAGGAGUAUACACUGUAUGGCAAAUCAACAAUUACAGAGAGUCUAAGAGGAUUAGCUUUUCAAAUUUCAGCAAACUCUUUUUUCCAGACAAAUACACAUCAGGCAGAGAUUCUUUAUCAGUUAAUAGAGGACUGUGCCUGUCUAAAGGGAGAUGGUUCAGAAAUAGUUCUAGAUCUAUUUUGUGGAACAGGAACCAUUGGUCUUACACUUGCAAAGAGGGCGAGACAUGUAUACGGUUUUGAGAUAGUUGAUCAAGCAAUCUCAGAUGCACGCCGUAAUGCCAAUUUGAAUGGCAUAUGUAAUGCCACAUUUGUCCAAGGGGAUCUUAACAAAAUUGACGAGAAUUUUGGAAAGUAUUUUCCGAAGCCUGACAUUGUCAUUACAGAUCCUAAUCGCCCAGGCAUGCACAUGAAAUUAAUCAAAUUUUUGCUUAAUCUGAAGGCAGCACGUAUUAUCUAUGUAUCUUGCAAUCCUGCCACCUGCGCCCGUGACCUUGAUUACCUCUGUCAUGGUGUGCCAGAGCAGAACUUAAGUGGAUGCUACAAACUGAGAAGCUUACAACCGGUGGACAUGUUCCCACACACUCCACAUAUCGAAUGUGUUUGCUGGUUGGAACUCUGUUGAUUCUACCCGAUUCUGCAUUCCCAACAAAGGAUUAGCUCUCUUUCCCUCGACUUAUGUAGCUGCUUUUUCGAGUUUCUUGGUCUAUAUCGAUGGAAAAUAAUAGCUGGAAACUGCUGCUGAUAUUCCGUAGGGUAGGCUGAGGAGCAAAAGGAGGAAAAGUCAGUUCAACAUCACUGCACAUUCGAAGAAAAGAGGUUUGUCAUACAGUAAAGUAUAAGUUAUACAGUUGUAAAAGUUGGAAAGCAUAAUUUCAGCUCUGAUUUCAAAGGCUUUAUUCUUUGAUCAUUUGAGGCUUGCACCGUUCCUUUUCUUUUCUCAGAUUUCCAUUUGUUACUUUUUUGCUUCUUUUAAGUCUUUGGAAUGUGCAUCACCAUAUUACAUUCAAUGAAAUAAAAAUUUAGUUCAUGAAUUUUUUACUUCCCAAGUAUGGUGUUCAAAUCCUCAGAAGUAAACACUUGCUCCACUAGAAUUCUGCAAUUUUUGUGUACUCUGAUGUUAAGAAACUCAAUUGCAAUAUAAGAGAGUUUAUUCUCUAUCCUA